CAGUGCAACAAAUUACUUUCCGCUGCUUGACAUCUGUAUCAAACAUGUCAGUUUGGGACUCUAUUGUAUCAUAUCUUUCGAAGUAAUUUCAAAGUACGGUGAUAAGUGGACUGAACGUAUUUCUUUAAAGUUACAAGAGCAUGUUUGAAAAAAUGGAACUACAAAAUAUCUUGACCUGGAAGGCGUUACUUUGUUCUUAUUUUUCAAUGCGAUUAAGUUUUUGAAGGUAUAUUAAGAAUACUGGAUUAACUAUUGAAGAUGUUAAUGCUAGUCAAUGAUUAUCUAAAUAAAAUCUCACUUUAAUCUUAGGUGGUGUAAGGUUUUAUGUAAAAAUUGUAGGUUAAAAUAAAAAAAGAGUGUCGUAUUUAUUAUCUCAGUGCUAAGAUAGAUUCAUCAGAGUGUAAAAGUCUUUACAGUGCUAAAAAGAUUUCAUGCGUGAAAUCAACUGAAGCCGGUAAAAGAGUUUACCUACCAAACAAUGACCUCAUUUGAUAAUGAAUUUUUUUUUGUGAUAUAAUUAAAUGAAACAAGCUUGAAACUUAUAAAAC